AGCGAACGCUGGCGGCAGGCCUAACACAUGCAAGUCGAACGAACUCUUCGGAGUUAGUGGCGAACGGGUGAGUAACACGUGGGUGAUCUGCCCUGCACGUUGGGAUAAGCCUGGGAAACUGGGUCUAGUACCGGAUAGGACUCCGAGAUGCAUGUCGUGGGGUGGAAAGCUUGUGCGGUGUGGGAUGGGCCGGCGGCCUAUCCGCUUGUGGGUGGGGUUAAGGCCUACCAAGGCGACGGCGGGUAGCCGGCCUGAGAGGGUGUCCGGCCACACUGGGACUGAGAUACGGCCCAGACUCCUACGGGAGGCAGCAGUGGGGAAUAUUGCACAAUGGGCGCAAGCCUGAUGCAGCGACGCCGCGUGAGGGAUGACGGCCUUCGGGUUGUAAACCUCUUUCACUAGGGACGAAGCGCAAGUGACGGUACCUAGAGAAGAAGCACCGGCCAACUACGUGCCAGCCGCCGCCGUAACAC
rnacentral:rRNA from 1 species